GUCGGGAGUUAGGAAAUGCAAGGAUGUUAAUAGCGUCUUUGCUUGACUAAGGCUCCGGAGGAAGCCACGGCUAACUCUGUGCCAGCAGCCGCGGUAAUACAGAGGCGGCAAGCGUUGUUCGGAAUUAUUGGGCGUAAAGAGCACGUAGGCGGCCGUGUAAGUCGGUUGUGAAAGCCUUCCGCUCAACGGGAGAACGGCAUCCGAUACUGCAUGGCUCGAGUGCGGGAGGGGAGAGUGGAACUUCUGG
rnacentral:rRNA from 1 species